rnacentral:lncRNA from 10 species
GCAGCUUAGGACAGGAGAUGAAAAGUGACUUUUCUAACCGUAUCACAAGUGGUUCUGUGUCCAGCAAGUCCUGGAACAGAGAUGUUGGAACUAUUCCAGGAUAUACGUUACACCAUAGAGCUCUGGAUGCCUAGAAGCAAUGAAGAUGGGGUGGGGGCAGUGAAAUAGCCAGCUCCUACGCUAAGUGCAGCCCUCCCCACCAGGGCUGUAGCCGGGCUGCCCCCUCACCUGAGGAACUCAUGCCUUUGAUCACGGCAGCAUUACAACCUGUCCCUGAUACCAAAAGGAGAAACACUCUUGGCCUGUGCCCUCUUGGAUGGAUCAUUUUUCAGAGAACAGGACGUUUAGUGAGUUUGUCUCAAACUGCACAGAGAACAUGGUGAACCUGCUAGGGCUGAUUGCUGAGGGAAAUUAAGAAGACAGGGAUAAUGGCUUUUCCUCUGUUGCUAAAGCCAGCAUGUACCUGAAAUGAGCCCCAAAGCUCAGGCCUGACUUCAUGCCUUUCUUGUCCUGGGAAGAGGGUUUAUCAGAUUCUAAAGACUGCAUUUCAGUUAUCUUUGUUUCCAAUACUGAAGCAGCUCCCUCUGCUCACCGAGGCAGAGCACUUUCUAUCUCUUUUUCAGAAAAAUCCCAAGGAACAAUUGUUUUGGAUUACUUAGUGGACUCAGCAUGGAAACUGCUUGUGUGGCCCAGCUAGGUAGGGGCGUUCAGACAAGGAGACCUGACCUGGAGCCUCUGGGAUGAUUCCAAGGAAGAAGAAUCCUGGCCUAAUGAACUCCUCAAGCUCUCUUCUUUGGGAAAUAGGAAGAUCACAAUUUGAAAUCUUAAUACGAGGUAAUAAUUGAAUAUAUAAGCACCCUACAUAAUCCAGAACUAAAAAAUGUGAAAUUAAGUCAUGAAUUGCUUUCAAAUAUAGCAGGAAUCUUCUAGCCUCUCUCUUCCAGUCCUAAAAGGCACCACGAAAUGCUGCCUCAGAGCCAAGGCCCCAAAUAAAUACAUGCUAAUAAGGCUGAUUUUCCCUUUUCACUCUUCUCCUGGGCAGUAUGAACCUUUGACUAGAGAGAGGCAGAAAGGAGCAUCUCAACCCAUUUAGGUGGUGGCCUCUUUCAAAGUGAAAUGUGAAGCCAGGGCUCCAAACCGUCAUUGUCCUGAGAGUUCCCAGGAAGGCUUUUGCGUGGUGACCUGGAUGCCCGUCCAAAUGGCCUUGGCUGGUCCCAUCCCUCACUCUAGCUCCCUAAGGGUCCUGCUGCUAUCAAUUGACUGUGAACAUUUCCUUUCACUGCCUUUUGCAAACUGCUGGGUGAGUGCCAAGUAGUAGCUUUGCAGGGUUCAUUCACCCCAGGGCUGGGAGCUUUUCAGCAGUGUAGGCAGGUUAUGUGUUUCAAAUCAGCAUAGUAGGGCAG